GUCAGCUAUGUGGACUCUAGCUGCCAAAGGCGCUUCUCCUUCUGAACAGAGCGCUUUGCUCAGCCAGUGUAGACAUGGCCUGAU
ensembl:miRNA Mir1251 microRNA 1251